AUUCCAGCUCCAAUAGCGUAUAUCAAACGUGUUUUAGUUAAAAAGUUUAUAGUUGGAUUUCUGCUGAGGACAACCGGUCCGCCUUCUGGGUGAGUAUGUGGUUUGGUUUUAACGUUUUCUUGGAGAACGUAGCUGCAAUUGAUUGUGAGGAGCGGUAUCCAGGAUUUUUACUUUCAGGAAAUUAUAGUGUUUCAAACAGGCACACGCCUUGAAUACAUUAGCAUGGAAUAAUAAGAUAGAACCUUGGUUCUAUGUUGUGGGUUUAUAAAGUUGAGGUAAUGAUUAAUAGGGAUAGUUGGGGGCAUUCGUAUUUAAUUGUCAGAGGAGAAAUUCUUGGAUUUGUCAAAGACGGACUACUGCGAAAGUAUUUGCCAAGGAUGUCUUCAUUG
rnacentral:rRNA from 1 species